AGGGGCAUAGCUCAAUUGGCAGAGCAGCGUCGGUCUCCAAAACCGAAGGUUGGGGGUUCGAUUCCCUCUGCCCCUGCCA
rnacentral:tRNA from 1 species